rnacentral:tRNA from 2 species
GGUAAAGUGGUCGAGAAUAGGCAGUAAAUUGUAAAUUUACUUACGGGGUAUCCCCUUUAUCA